rnacentral:rRNA from 1 species
ACCUGAAAUCAAGCAAGAUCACCCGCUGAACUUAAGCAUAUCAGUAAGCGGAGGAAAAGAAACUAACAAGGAUUGCCUUAGUAGUGGCGAAUGAACCGGCAAUAGCUCAAAGUGUAAAUCUGAGGCAUCAAGUCUUAGAAUUGUAAUCUAUAGGCCUUUUAGGGAAACCAUGGUUCUAGCAUAAGUUCCCUGAAAAGGGAUGCCAAAGAGGGUAAAAGCCCCGUAUUUGGUUAGGACUGGGUGUACCGAAGGGUUCCAAGAGUCGGGUUGUUUGGGAUUGCAGCCUAAAAUGGGAGAUAAACUUCUUCUAAAGCUAAAUAUUUAUGGGAAACCGAUAGCAAACAAGUACUACGAAGGAAAGAUGAAAAGAACUUUGAAAAGAGGGUUAAAAGACUUGAAAUCGUUGAGGAGAAAAGCGGUAGAAGAGAAAUGAUUUCAUUUAGAAGUAUGUAGUUUUGUAGGCGUCUUCUGUGGUAAUGGUACUUCAUAGGGCCUAGCUAUAGACCGGCGUCGCAUUGCUGCUUUUUCUGGGUGAAGUGCAAAAUGAGGUCUCGCUUGCGGAAACGUCUCUAGGGAAGACUCUGGCCUCGACGCUAGAAGCCCUGGUCUCCAA